GACAGAGGGUGCAAACGUUGUUCGGAUUUACUGGGCGUAAAGCGCGUGUAGGCGGCUUGGCAAGUUGAAUGUGAAAGCCCACGGCUCAACCGUGGAAGCGCAUCCAAAACUGCUUCGCUCGAGUCUCGGAGAGGAAGGUGGAAUGCUUGGUGUAGAGGUGAAAUUCGUAGAUAUCAAGCAGAACAACCUGCGGCGAAGGCGGCCUUCUGGACGAUGACUGACGCUGAGACGCGAAAGCGUGGGGAGCAAACAGG
rnacentral:rRNA from 1 species